GCCCCGCCCACUCCACCAUUUUCCUCUGGAAGUGCUCAACCCUGAGGCGGUCCUGCGGCUGGGCAGGCUUGGGGCUUGGUUCUAUGUCCCUAUGGGUCGGUGUGGGGGCGAAGAGGGACCCGUGGGCCUCUGGGGAUCCCGGGGGGCCGGACCAGUGUUCCCUAGUUGUGGGAGCAGACGCCUGGGCGCAUCGCGGGCGAGCGAGGCCUGACGUGCAGCUAUGUUUCCAGUGUCCUCUGGGUGUUUCCAAGAGCAACAAGAAACGAAUAAAUCUCUGCCAUAGGAGUUUUAGCCAAUUCAGAGGACUUGCUCCCCACAAUUUGGAAAAUUCCUUUGGAUUUGACCAAGUAAGGAAGAGACGGGAGAAAAGUGAAACAACAACAAUAAAGCCCCAAGUAUAAACAAACAAAAAGAGUUAAGCAAAACAACAAAUGCACAAUUCAUAUGAUUACUGAGUGUUCUAAUGGUAAGGAGAAACUAAAAGCAGAAAUUAAAAGCAGCUGGUGAGUAAUCUUAAAUUUUAGUCAUUAAGGAAAAAUUUUAAGACAAAACUCUAAUUCAGCUACUUACCUGGAAACAAGGCUCAGGCUGGUGAUCGUUCUCUGCCAUCUUAGAAGCUGGAAACAACUUACACUCACCUUCCCUGUCAGAAGCAAGCUGAAACUCAGGAAAGGAGGUGCCUGCUCUCCAUCACCACAGAAGCAGGAAAACUUGCCUUUGUUAUGCCCAGACCGUUAGUUCCCCAAAGAAGACCACCAGAGUCCAGAGUCAAAGCCAAGCGGCAAGGAUCUUUACUAUAAGUUCGAACCUGGUCCCUCCAUUCCACAGCAUACAAGAGGGCCCUGAACAAUGCGAGUGUUUGCUUUUUAUAGCCUGAAAGUUACAGGGGAACAAAGGAAUUCUUUUGGUUCCUGCUCUUUCAGUAAAACUUUGAACGGCUGUCCCCUUAUCAGAGACUUUCCUGGUGGUGUUUGUACUGGGCUCAGGAAGUUUGAGAGAUAUAUGGCGAUAUGUGGUGGGAUGGGAGGAUGGGAUGUGUUUGUACUGGGCUUGUUUGUUUUGAGCCCGGGGCUGAGGAAUGUGCCCGGCUCCUUUCACCUUCCUUGUUGGAAAUGAGUAAAACUUCAGAAAAGGAGUUGUACAGCAAAAUCAAACUUAGAUCUCAACCAGAUUUUGGGAGAUCAGGGACUCUUUGCAGGGGAGAAGCUCCACAACCUCAGCAAAUUAUUCUGUUGGUUUGGGCAAUAAAGAUAGCCCAGGUUGGUAUCAAUCAAUAAUGAGAUUUAUCAAAGGUCAGGACCACCUUUGUAAUGUCCUUCUCUGUCUUUUUUUAUCUUUAUUGGUAUAUACAUUUUGUCGAAACUGGGAGUGUAACACCUGAUUUCUUCUGUUUUCCAUUUGCUUGAAAGAUUUUUCACCAUUCCUUCAUUUUGAGCCUAUGUAUGGCACUGCAUGUGAGAUGGGUUUCUUGGAGACGGCAUACUCAAAUGGGUCUUGGUUCUUUAUCCAGCUUGCCCCCCUGUGUCUUUCAAUCAGCAUUUAGCCGAUUUCCAUUUAAGGUUAGUAAUGGUAUGUGUGGAUUAGAUCCUGUCGUCAUGCUGUCAGCUAGUUAUUUUGCAGACUUGUGUAUGUGGUUGGUUUUUAGCAUUACUGGUCUGUGUACUUCAGUGCAUUUUUGUAGUGGCUGGUGAUGGUCUUUUCUUUCCAUAUUUAGUGCUUCAUGUAAGCUCUUGUAAGGUAGAUCUGGUGAUAAUGAAUUCUCCCAGCAUUUGCUUGUCUGAAAAGGAUCUUUUUUCUCCUUCACUUAUGAUGCUUAAUUUUGCUGGACAUGAAAUUCUGGGUUGAAAUUUCUUUUUCUUUUAACCAUUUAUAAUAACACCAUGUUAUUAUAUGGUAUAUCUGUCUCUGCCAUACUACGUGAAAUUUCUUUUCUUUAAGAAGUUGAAUAUCUUUUCUGGCUUGUAGGGUUUCAGCUGAGAAGUCUGCUAAGGCUGAUGGAAUUCCCUUUGCAGGUGACGUUGCCUUUCUCCCUAGCUGCCUUUAACAUUGUUUCUUUAAUUUUGACCUUGGAGAAUCUGAUGAUUAUAUGUCUUGGGGAUGAUCUUCUCGUGGCUUAUCUUACUGAGGUUCUCUGGAUUUCCUGAAUUGGAAUGUUGGCCUGUCUGGAUAGGUUGGGGAUAUUCUCAUGAAUGAUAUUCUGAAGUAUGUUUUCCAAGUUGGUUCCAUUCUCCUCAUCUCUUUCAUGUACACUAAUCAGUCAUAGAUUUGGUCGUUUAUAUAAUCUCAUAUUUCUUGGAUGUUUUGUUCAUUCAUUUUCCUUCUUUUUUCCCCCAUUCUUGUCUGCCUGUUUUAUUUCAGAAAGCCGGUUUUCAAGCUCUGGGAUUCUUUCCUCUGCUUGGUCUAUUCUGCUGGGUGGUCUUGCACAUGAGAUGUAGCUGGUGUGACCUCAGCCCUCCUUAGUCUGCUUGCCUCUCCCAGGACCCCAGCCUGGCCACACCUGCUUACAGGGCAAUCUCGGGUGCCCACACACACUACAAUAAUUUUCAUAAUGCAAUCACACAUAAUCACUAUGUGACUGCAUUAUGAAAAUUCUUGUAGUGUGCUUUUCAGCUCUAUUAGGUCGGUUAUGUCUUCUUUAUACUUGCUAUUUUGUCUGUUAGCUCCUACAAUGUUUUACAAUGAUUUUUAGCUCACUUGUAUUGCAUGACAACAUACUUCUUUCACUCAGUGAACUUUGUUGCUACGCAUAUCCUGAACCCUGCUUGUAUCAUUCCAGACAUCUCAGCCUCAGCCCAGUUCUGAACACUUGCUGGAGAGUUGAUACAGUCAUUUGGAGGAAAGAAGGCAUGCUGACUUUGAGUUUUCAGUGUUCUCGCACAGAUUCUUUCUCAUCUUUAUGGGCUUAUCCACCUUCCAUCUUUGAGGUUGCUGACAUUCGGACAGGGUAUUUUUGUUUUAUUGUAUUUGAUGAUCUUGAGGGUUUCAUAGUGGGAUAAGGUGGAUUCAGCCAACUGGCUUUGUUUUCGGAGGAUUUUAGGGGGGCCAAUGUGCAGCUCCCAAUUCUUGGACUGUGUGCUUUAACUCUGGGGAACUUGUCUUGGGCCCCAACUUUGUUCUCUGGCUCUUGGAGGUUUGGAGUCCACUGCACUGAGGGGACCAAAGUGUGGCAACUGUGGCAGAAUGCUAGUGGAUGCAAAAGUCCCUGCCUCCCUGCGGGCGUUCACCCAGUGGUGGAGGCAAGACAGCUGGGGUGUGGACCAGGGGUCCCCUGCUGUGUGUGUGUUGCCCUGGAGGUAGUGUUGGUUCAUGGUGGGAUGCUGGCCAGUGCAGGCCAUGGUGCCUUCUCUGUGCCCCUCAAAGCAACAGUGGUCACUCAGGGUAUAAGAAGGUCCCUUUUUCUCUGCACAGCAUUAGCUCAAGGGUUAGGGGCUGGCAGGGAUGGGGUUCUUGAUUCUGUGCCCACCAAGGCUCUGUCUUCAAUGGCAGUUGGUGUGGGUUGGGGUGUGUCCUGCACUCCCCUGUGCUGUCAGGGCAAGUACAGCAAAACCCACAUGUGUAAACACACACAGCAAAGUGAUGUAGGAAGUUUCCACAUAAAGGGCUGCAGUAUGGAGAGGUAAUGUGCAGGCUGGUGCGUGGCUGUUGGGGCCACCUUGCUGCAGCUCUCCACUGAUCAGGUACAGUCCACUAGCACGGAAGCUAUGCUGUGGGCAUCCGAGAGUGCCCUGUAUGCAGGUGUGGCCAGGCUGGGGUCCUGGGAGAGGCAAGCAGACUAAGGAGUGCUGAUAUCAGACCAGCCCCAUCUCAUGUGCAAGACUGCCCAGCAGAGAUCAGGUCUCAGAGGAGAACUCUCUCAAAAGUGAAUCCCCGGCACAGCAUAGCUGCUUUACACAAACAUGGCCAGGCUUCUUUUUUAAGCAAGUCCCCUUUUUGAAGAGGGGAACUCUGGGACCUGAUCUCUGCUGGGCAAUCUUGAACAUGAGAUGGGGCUGAUCUGAACUUAGCAUUCCUAAAGUGCUGGGAUAAAGUAUCUCACAAGGGCACGUGGAGCCUAGAGAGAUAGCUGUCCCUGCCCUCUGGGCUCCACAUCACCUGACUUGCUGCUCCACCACUCUGCUUGUCUCCUGGGUACUCCAUCCCAUAGAGAUGUGAGUUAGCAAUCACUUAGCGUAAUCAGCCCAGGAUGGAGGGUCUGUGUUGUGAGGCCAAGCCAGUGUUCCCUCUCUGGUGAUGAGCAGUGGGGGGUGUGUGGUACCCGUGGGAGAUGGACUGGCUUGUUCAUUGGGUCAACCGCAGCUUAUUGGAGGUGUCAAUAUGUCACUUAGGGUCUUUGCUCCCUUGAUAUUCUGAGGGUAGCAAGGGCAGUUUCACUGCAGAGGCAAUGGCAGAGAGAAUUUCGUUUGCUCCUGGAAGCUCUGUCCAGGGAAUUGCUGAGUUGCUACUGGCUGGAUAGCUCUGAUGGUGGACUGGCUGGAGACCCAGGUCAGUAGGACCAGCCCAUCAAGUAGACUGUGUGGCCACUUUUCUGUCAGGCUGCUGUGGUAUGCUGGGGGUCCCCUCCAGUCCCUAAUUGCCUUGUAUUUUCCAGGGAAGAUGAUAGCCUGCCCCUUCCUCUGGGAGCUCUGUGCCACUGAGGUACGAACUUGUUGCCAGUAUGAACACACCUAUAAGAUGUGACUGGAGGCAAGUUGAGAAGUCUUACCUAGUCAGGAGGAACAAAAACAGGCACUGACUUAAAAAAAAAAAAGUCUGGGCACGUUUUUCUAGAGCAGCUGUGCUAUGUCGGGUGUUCACUUCCACUCCUGGUUGCCUCAGACACUCUGAAGCCCUAAUGCUGAAAUGGCUGAGUUGCCCCAACAGCAAAGACAACAGUCUGGUCCUCCUCCUGGGAGCUCUGACUCAGGGAGGCCUGAAACCUCUGUGGGCCAGAGAACAGCAGUGAAGGCAGCUGGAGACCCUGGUUGAAAGGCUUCACCUGCUGAUUAGAAAUGUGGUCGGGGACUGACUUAAACAAGAGUCUGGCCAUGUUUUUGUAGUGUGGCCGUGCUGCGCUGAGGUUCCUCUUCCACCCCUUGUCACCUUGGGCUUUCCAAAGCCCGCAAACCAGAACUGCUAGUCACCCGAACAGCAAAGGUGGUGGCCUCCCCCUCUCUCUGGGAGCUCUGUCCCGUGAACACUUCAAAUUUCUCUUGGCCAAGGAAUGCUGGUGGCGGUAGCUGGAGGCCCCAUUUGGGAGGUCCUGUACAGUGAUGUGCAACAGGGUCGGGGGCCUGCUUACAGAAGCAUUCUGGCCAUGAUUUGGUAAAGCAGCUAUGCUGUGCUGUGGGAUCUCUUCUGCCCCUUGUCGGUUUGUACUCUCCAAAGCCCUCAGGCUGGAAUGACUAAGUUGCCUGAACAGGAAAGAUGGCGGCCUGCCCCAUCUAUUCUCUCAGAGUUCAUCUUGUUUGAUGGAGAUUAAUUUUUAGUCUGUUAAUUUUACUGUCUACAUUGGACUUGUUCGGAAAGAAUCUGCUAUCUUUUAGGUUAGAUAUAUGAGAAUUCAUUGUUUUCUGUAAAUAAACCUGUUCAUGUCUUGUUCUC